AACGAACGCUGGCGGCAGGCUUAGCACAUGCAAGUCGAGCGCCCCGCAAGGGAAGCGGCAGACGGGUGAGUAACGCGUGGGAAUCUACCUUUUGCUACGGAAUAACGCAGGGAAACUUGUGCUAAUACCGUAUGUGCCCUUCGGGGGAAAGAUUUAUCGGCAAAGGAUGAGCCCGCGUUGGAUUAGCUAGUUGGUGGGGUAAAAGCCUACCAAGGCGACGAUCCAUAGCUGGUCUGAGAGGAUGAUCAGCCACAUUGGGACUGAGACACGGCCCAAACUCCUACGGGAGGCAGCAGUGGGGAAUAUUGGACAAUUGGCGCAAGCCUGAUCCAGCCAUGCCGCGUGAGUGAUGAAGGCCUUAGGGUUGUAAAGCUCUUGCACCGGUGAAGAUAAUGACGGUAACCGGAGAAGAAGCCCCGGCUAACUUCGUGCCAGCCGCCGCGGUAA
rnacentral:rRNA from 1 species